rnacentral:tRNA from 1 species
GCCGCAGUGGUGUAGCUUGGUUAGCAUGGGGGCCUGUGGAGCCCUCGGCCCGAGUUCAAAUCUCGGCUGCGGCC